rnacentral:rRNA from 1 species
UACGAAGGGGGCUAGCGUUGCUCGGAAUCACUGGGCGUAAAGCGCACGUAGGCGGCUCUUUAAGUCAGGGGUGAAAUCCUGGAGCUCAACUCCAGAACUGCCCUUGAUACUGAGGAGCUUGAGUCCGGGAGAGGUGAGUGGAACUGCGAGUGUAGAGGUGAAAUUCGUAGAUAUUCGCAAGAACACCAGUGGCGAAGGCGGCUCACUGGCCCGAUACUGACGCUGAGGCACGAAAGCGUGGGGAGCAAACAGG